CCAAGGAGUGCAACAUGCGUGCGAGUCUUGGGGUGGAAAACCCGUCGGCGCAAUGAAGGUGAAGGCAGGCGUUGGUCUGCCCAGGCGAGAGCCUCCCACGGGGGCGCAUCGUCGACCGAUCCCAGGCUACGCUGUGGCGGGAUUUGAGUAAGAGCGUGCCUGUUGCGACCCGAAAGAUGGUGAACUAUGCCUGAAUAGGGUGAAGCCAGAGGAAACUCUGGUGGAAGCUCGUAGCGAUUCUGACGUGCAAAUCGAUCGUCAAAUUUGGGUAUAGGGGCGAAAGACUAAUCGAACCAUCUA
rnacentral:rRNA from 1 species